GUCCAGCAUCAAUAUAAUGAAGGGGACCCAGAUGUUACAAUACAGGUGGAUGUCGGAGUCCUGAUGACAGGAAGAGAUGGAUCAGUGGAUUUCCCUUCCCAGAACCUUCUCACCAACCUUUCUGGCCAUGAGGACUACCACUCCUUUAGUGAGGACCCAGAGCAGCUGAUCCCCAUGGAGAUGAGGAAUCAAGAGUGAAGCUUCCAUCUAUAAGGGAAGGUGAUGGGGGCAUGACUAGGGGUUGCUGCAGGAGGACUCAGUCCUGUCCACAGGGUCACUCUGCAAAUCUUCAGCUCCUUUAGAGGUGGAACCCCUCUGUGCUUGACAGUGACUGCCUCUGAAGGAGUUGGGAAGGUUCCCACUGUGGCUGUUGAAGUUGCAAAGGACACUUGGCUCCUGCAAUCCAUCAGUGGUCCAGCAUCUGUUUGUUGGGGAGUCCCAGAUGAUACAACAUAGGUCCAGCAUCAGUAUAAUGAGGGGGACCCAGAUGAUAUGAUACAGGUGAGUGCCAUUCGAAGAUGGAUGUUGAAGGAGUCCUGAUGAGCAGAAGAGAAGGACCAACUUAUUUCUCCUCCCAGAAGCUCCUCACCACCCUUCCUGGUCAU